CCUACGGGUGGCAGCAGUGAGGAAUAUUGGUCAAUGGACGCAAGUCUGAACCAGCCAUGCCGCGUGCAGGAAGACGGCUCUAUGAGUUGUAAACUGCUUUUGUACGAGGGUAAACGCAGAUACGCGUAUCUGUCUGAAAGUAUCGUACGAAUAAGGAUCGGCUAACUCCGUGCCAGCAGCCGCGGUAAUACGGAGGAUUCAAGCGUUAUCCGGAUUUAUUGGGUUUAAAGGGUGCGUAGGCGGUCGGAUAAGUUAGAGGUGAAAUCCCGAGGCUCAACUUCGGAAUUGCCUCUGAUACUGUUCGUCUAGAGAGUAGUUGCGGUAGGCGGAAUGUAUGGUGUAGCGGUGAAAUGCUUAGAGAUCAUACAGAACACCGAUUGCGAAGGCAGCUUACCAAGCUACUACUGACGUUGAGGCACGAAAGCGUGGGGAGCAAACAGGAUUAGAUACCCUGGUAGUC
rnacentral:rRNA from 1 species